rnacentral:rRNA from 1 species
UACGGAUGGGGCUGGCGGUGUUCGGAAUUACUGGGCGUAAAGGGCGCGCAGGCGGCUGCUCAAGUCAGGCGUGAAAGGCCUGGGCUCAACCCGGGAAUUGCGCUUGAGACUGGGCUGGCUUGAGUGCGGGAGAGGAUGGUGGAAUUCCCAGUGUAGAGGUGAAAUUCGUAGAUAUUGGGAAGAACACCGGUGGCGAAGGCGGCCAUCUGGACCGCAAUUGACGCUGAGGCGCGAAAGCGUGGGGAGCAAACAGG